UACGUAGGGAGCGAGCGUUGUCCGGAUUCAUUGGGCGUAAAGAGCUCGUAGGCGGCUUGAUAAGUCGGAUGUGAAACCUCCAGGCUCAACCUGGAGUCGCCAUCCGAUACUGUCAUAGCUAGAGUCCGGUAGGGGCCCACGGAACUCCUGGUGUAGCGGUGAAAUGCGCAGAUAUCAGGAAGAACACCGAUGGCGAAGGCAGCUCGCUGGGACGGUACUGACGCUGAGACGCGAAAGCGUGGGGAGCAAACAGG
rnacentral:rRNA from 1 species